UCUUUGCAAUAACUGUUAUCAAAGCCAAGGCAAUGAACACGCCACAUACACACAUUUGAGUGAAAUCUGUUCAUGAAAAUAGUGAUAAUUAAAUUGAAAGGAAAGACAUUUUUUUCUGGCCCUCAAAAAUGAUAUAAUUUGCACAAAAAAAAGUUUUUGCCUUCAUUUGGGAUGAGAUCAUGGCGCAAUUGUUAAUUAUAUUGUAAACUAUUCCAUUUUGUGCCACCCACUUAAUGGGGAAUUUAUGCAAGGCCAAGCAUUAUUCAAUUUGACAGCAGAAAUACAAGGCGAAAAAGUCAAAUGUGUCAGGCACAGCGCACAGUUUUUCGCAAUACUCAAGUAAAUCAUAUAAAUUUAUGUUGAUACUAAAAUGGACCAAGGAAGAUGGAAAUGAAAGUGAAAAGGGCAGCAGAAAAGAAAAACUGUAGUAAAAUGAAUAUCAAAGGUCAGCAGGAUGGCCGGACGGACAUGCUAUUGUAAGAGGGCCCUUUUUCUCACAGCCGAAAUAUGAAGCAAAAACACUGCUAAUAGCUGAACUGGAAAAUUUUCGAAGAAAAAAAAAUUCCAUUUCAUGAAAUUGUAGUUUGCUUUAAUAUCAUCUCAUAAAGCUAAAUAUAUGGAAAACAUUUUUAGAAUGGUGUAGAAUUUGUUUUUGUGUAGGUUUUGUUGUUUCCUUGUCCUCUAAAUAAAAUUUUCUAAACCCAAUGUAUUGUUGUAGUAUCACAAAUAAUAUUUCUUUUUUGUAUAACAUGAUUUUGAUUUAUAAAGCCUGAAGAUAUGCUAUAUUUCGCUAUAUAAUUUCAAUUGCUUGCUUGUAUGCCUCAUAAAAUACUAAUUAAAUGGCAAAUUCUUGUUCAUGACAACCAGUCAAAAGAAAGCUCAUUUGGCCAUUUUUUUUACAUUAUGCAUGUUUGGAGGUUGUAAAAGUUUUAUGACCAUAAUUUUU